AUCCCACUGUCAGCGGAAGUGAGGAUGGAAUUUCGAUGGUGAUUACUUCACAUACAAACUUGGAUUGGCAAAACGAUCUUUGACUCUUCCUUCGGAUACGGGGUGAUGGAUGAACCCCCACACACACCCACAAGAUAUCGCUCCUGCUCAUGAUACCCCUCGGGCAGGGCCAACCGUGAUUUCCCGGAUCGCCUGGAGAUGUCUCGCGGAGACCCUCUACUACUCCCUACCUUCCCUCUACUUCUGACGGGACCUCGAGGGGAAGCCCACUCCCUUGUCAUGGAAGGACAACUGGCACUAGUUGCCUGGACGGCUUCAGGGGCUCCUGGUCAGUUCACAACCUAUUGCAUCAACUAAGACCUCCUAUGGGACUCAUAGGCUCCCGGCACCAGGAAAGGCUAUAUUUCUGCCUGGUCGGCCUGGAGUGAGUGGUGUGUGGAAAGGGAUUCCGAUCCCUUUACCGCACCUGUCCCACUGACCCUCAACUAUCCGUCACACCUGGUCUCGUUGGGUCGGUCAUAUCGAUCCCUCAACGUGAUCAGAUCCGCCGAUAUACGCAGGUAUCGGCGGCGCACGGAGCAGACCAGUAGGUCAAGAUACACUGGUUUGUCGACUACUGUGGGGUGUCGAAUUGUCGAGAUCCCUGCACCCAAAUAUUCACGCCUCUGGCAGGUGGAUGUGGUGCUGAGAUUCCUUAGGGAAUGGCCGGGAAUGUUUGUCACUGAAGCAACUUUCAGCCAAACUAGCCCUCUUAUUAUGCCUCGCCUCAUUUAGACGGUGGCGGACGUUAGGGCUUGCGAUAUGGAUGGUUUCUCUCUCACACCAGACGGGGUUACCUUUACCAUGUCGAGAUGAACUAAGUCUGUUUCGUCUUCAGAGUCAUACCCAUGCUUUGUGUCAGACGCCUCACUAUGCGUGGUCAGAACGCUAAUGGGGUACACCAAUAUCUCUACCCCCUUCGAACUCAUUCGACGGAUCACCUUCUGACUUCUUACGUGAACCCUCAUGGACCGGUGUCUACCGCAACACUGGCCAGAUGGGUCCGCUGGUUUUUGUCUUUAGCGUCGAACCUUGUUUCGGAGCCCACUCGGUCAGGGGAGCGGCGGCCUCACAAACCUUUUCGGCCGACGCUUCCCUAGCCGACAUUAU